CCUACGGGAGGCAGCAGUAAGGAAUAUUGGUCAAUGGAGGCAACUCUGAACCAGCCAUGCCGCGUGGAGGAUGAAGGCCCUCUGGGUUGUAAACUUCUUUUAUAAGGGAAGAAAUGCAGACAUUCUUGUUUGUUUGACGGUACCUUAGGAAUAAGCACCGGCUAACUCCGUGCCAGCAGCCGCGGUAAU
rnacentral:rRNA from 1 species